GACAGAGGUGCCGAGCGUUAGGCGGAAUCACUGGGCUUAAAGCGUGUGUAGGCGGACGUCUAAGUACCUUGUGAAAUCCCACGGCUCAACCGUGGAACUGCUCGGUAUACUGGUCGUCUUGAGCCACUUAGGGGCAGUCGGAACAGACGGUGGAGCGGUGAAAUGCGUAGAUAUCGGAAGGAACACCGGUGGCGAAAGCGGCGCGCUGGAUCCCUACUGACGCUGAGGCACGAAAGCCAGGGGAGCAAACGGG
rnacentral:rRNA from 1 species